rnacentral:tRNA from 1 species
AAGGGAAUGACAGAUCGGUUAUGUGUUUAACUUGAAAUUA